AGAUCCCUCUGUGGUCCCAGCGGGUCAUCUACCUCCAGGGCUCUGCGCUCAAAGACCAGGACCUCAUGCGAGCUAACCAUCCUCCCAAUCUCUUCGUGUG
rnacentral:sRNA from 1 species